rnacentral:rRNA from 1 species
UACGUAGGGUGCAAGCGUUAUCCGGAUUUAUUGGGCGUAAAGGGCUCGUAGGCGGUUCGUCGCGUCCGGUGUGAAAGUCCAUCGCUUAACGGUGGAUCCGCGCCGGGUACGGGCGGGCUUGAGUGCGGUAGGGGAGACUGGAAUUCCCGGUGUAACGGUGGAAUGUGUAGAUAUCGGGAAGAACACCAAUGGCGAAGGCAGGUCUCUGGGCCGUUACUGACGCUGAGGAGCGAAAGCGUGGGGAGCGAACGGG